CGGCGGACGGGUGAGUAACACGUGGAUAACCUACCUAUAAGACUGGGAUAACUUCGGGAAACCGGAGCUAAUACCGGAUAAUAUAUUGAACCGCAUGGUUCAAUAGUUAAAGACGGUUUUGCUGUCACUUAUAGAUGGAUCCGCGCCGCAUUAGCUAGUUGGUAAGGUAACGGCUUACCAAGGCAACGAUGCGUAGCCGACCUGAGAGGGUGAUCGGCCACACUGGAACUGAGACACGGUCCAGACUCCUACGGGAGGCAGCAGCU
rnacentral:rRNA from 1 species